UGACAGCUUAUGUCGCUAAUGUGCCGUGGUGCAUCACUGAUACUGAGAAGGCCAAGUAUGAACCAGUUUAUAAAAGUCUGAACCCAGUGAACAAUAUAUUGUCUGGUGAUAAGGUUAAACAAAUGCUGAUCAACUCUUAACUUCCCAUUGAGGUCCUGGGUAAAAUCUGGGACCUUAGUGAUAUCGACAAAGAUGGCUUUCUGGACAAAGAUGAGUUUUU